rnacentral:rRNA from 1 species
UACGUAGGGUGCAAGCGUUGUCCGGAAUUAUUGGGCGUAAAGAGCUCGUAGGCGGUUUGUCGCGUCUGCUGUGAAAACCGGAGGCUCAACCUCCGGCCUGCAGUGGGUACGGGCAGACUAGAGUGCGGUAGGGGAGAUUGGAAUUCCCGGUGUAGCGGUGGAAUGCGUAGAGAUCGGGAAGAACAUCAGUGGCGAAGGCGGCCUGCUGGGCUGUUGCUGACGCUGAGGCGCGACAGCGUGGGGAGCAAACAGG